rnacentral:rRNA from 1 species
AUGGCCAACGCUCAUGUCAACAUGAACUUCAACGCGUUCCUAGAGAAAACCAAGCUGAAAGAUGAUGGCAGCAACUAUACGGACUGGGUCCGGAACCUGAGGAUCAUCCUCAUAGCUGCCAGGAAACAAUAUGUCCUAGAAGGACCGCUAGGUGACGCUCCCGUCCCAGAGAACCAAGACAUUAUGAAUGCUUGGCAGUCUCGUGCUGAUGAUUACUCCCUCGUUCAGUGCGGCAUGCUUUACAGCUUAGAACCGGGGCUCCAAAAGCGUUUUGAGCACCACGGAGCAUAUGAGAUGUUCGAAGAGCUGAAACUAGUUUUUCAAGCUCAUGCCCGGGUCGAGAGAUAUGAUGUCUCCGACAAGUUCUACAGUUGUAAGAUGGAGGAAAACAGUUCUGUCAGUGAGCACAUCCUGAAGAUGUCUGGGUUGCACAAACGUAUGACCCAGCUGAACAUUAACCUCCCAGAUGAGGCGGUCAUUGACAGAAUCCUCCAGUCGCUCCCACCAAGCUACAAGAGCUUUGUGAUGAACUACAACAUGCAGGGGAUGGAAAAGACCAUUCCUGAAGUGUUCUCGAUGCUGAAGUCAGCAGAGGCUGAAAUCAAGAAAGAACAUCAAGUGUUGAUGGUCAAUAAGACCACUAAGUUCAAGAAGGGCAAGGGUAAGAAGAACUUCAAGAAGGACGGCAAAGAUGUUGCCGCGCCUGGUAAGCCAGUUACCGGGAAGAAGUCAAAGAAUGGACCCAAGCCUGAGACUGAGUGCUUUUAUUGCAAGGGGAAGGGUCACUGGAAGCGGAACUGCCCCAAAUACUUAGCGGAUAAGAAGGCCGGCAACACCAAAGGUAUAUUUGAUAUACAUGUGAUUGAUGUGUACCUUACCAGUACUCGUAGUAACUCCUGGGUAUUUGCUACCGGUGCCGUUGCUCAUAUUUGUAACUCACAGCAGGAGCUGCGGAAUAAACGGAGACUGGCAAAGGACGAGGUGACGAUGCGCGUCGGGAAUGGUUCCAGAGUCGAUGUGAUCGCCGUCGGCACGCUGCCUCUACAUUUACCUAUGGGAUUAGUUUUGAACCUUAAUAAUUGUUAUUUAGUGCCAAGUUUGAGCAUGAACAUUGUAUCUGGAUCUCGUUUAAUACGAGAUGGCUACUCAUUUAAGUCUGAGAAUAAUGGUUGUUCGAUUUAUAUGAGAGAUAUGUUUUAUGGUCAUGCUCCGAUGGUCAAUGGUUUAUUCUUAAUGAAUCUCGAGCGUAAUAUUACACAUGUUCAUAGUGUAGAUGCCAAAAGAUUUAAAGUUGAUAACGAUAGUCCCACAUACUUGUGGCACUGCCGCCUUGGUCACAUUGGUGUCAAGCACAUGAAGAAGCUCCAUGCCGAUGGACUUUUAGAGUCUCUUGAUUAUGAAUCGUUUGACACGUGCGAACCAUGCCUUUUGGGCAAAAUGACCAAGACUCCGUUCUCCGGAACAAUGGAGCGAGCAACCAACUUGUUGGAAAUCAUACAUACCGAUGUGUGCGGUCCAAUGAGCGUUGAGGCUCGCGGAGGAUAUCGUUAUGUUCUCACUCUCACAGAUGACUUGAGUAGAUAUGGGUAUGUCUACUUAAUGAAACACAAGUCUGAGACCUUUGAAAAGUUCAAGGAAUUUCAAAAUGAGGUAGAGAAUCAACGUGACCAAAAGAUAAAAUUCUUACGAUCAGAUCGUGGAGGAGAAUACUUAAGUCACGAAUUUGGUACACACUUAAGGAAAUGUGGAAUCGUUUCACAGCUCACGCCGCCUGGAACACCUCAGCGAAACGGUGUGUCCGAACGUCGUAAUCGCACCCUAUUGGAUAUGGUGCGGUCUAUGAUGUCUCUUACCGAUUUACCGCUAUCAUUUUGGGGAUACGCUCUAGAGACAGCUACAUUCACUUUAAAUAGGGCACCGUCUAAAUCCGUUGAGACGACACCGUAUGAAUUAUGGUUUGGAAAGAAACCUAAGCUGUCGUUUCUAAAAGUUUGGGGAUGCGAUGCUUAUGUCAAGAAACUUCAACCUGAAAAGCUCGAACCCAAGUCGGAAAAAUGCGUAUUCAUAGGAUACCCUAAGGAAACUGUCGGGUAUACCUUCUACUUAAGAUCCGAAGGCAAGAUCUUUUAUGCCAAGAACGGAUGCUUUCUGGAAAAAGAGUUUCUCUCGAAAGAAGUAAGUGGGAGGAAAGUAGAACUCGAUGAAGUACUACCUCUUGAGCGGGAAAGUGGCGCAGCGUAG